GACGAACGCUGGCGGCGUGCUUAACACAUGCAAGUCGAACGGAAAGGGCCUGCUUUUGUCGUGUGCUCGAGUGGCGAACGGGCGAGUAACAAGUGAGUAACCUGCCUGUGACUCUGGGAUAACCUCAGGAAACUGGGGAUAAUACCGGAUAGGAGCUCCUGCUUCAUGGCGGGGGUUGGAAAGUUUCGGCGGUUGGGGUUGGACUCGCGGCAUAUCAGCUUGUUGGUGGGGUAGUGGCUUACCAAGGCUUUGACGGGUCGCCAGCCUGAGAGGGUGACCGGCCACAUUGGGCCUGAGAUACGGCCCAGACUCAUACGGGAGGCAGAAGUGGGGAAUAUUGCACGAUGGGCGGAAGCCUGGUGCAGCAACGCCGCGUGCGGGAUGACGGCCUUCGGGUUGUAAACCGCUUUCGCCUGUGACGAAGCGUGAGUGACGGUAAUGGGUAAGGAAGCACCGGCUAACUACGUG
rnacentral:rRNA from 1 species